rnacentral:rRNA from 1 species
GACGAACGCUGGCGGCGUGCCUAAUACAUGCAAGUCGAACGCAGUGGGGACGGGUGAGUGACACGUGGCUAACCUCCCAUAAGAGGGGAUAACACUUGGAAAAAGGCGCGAAAGCGAUACUGAUGGAUGGACCCGCGGUGCAUUAGCCUGUUGGUGGGGUAACGGCUCACCAAGGCCACGAUGAUUAGCUGACCUGAGAGGGGGAUCGGCCACACUGGGACUGAGACACGGCCCAGACUCCUACGGGAGGCAGCAGUAGGGAAUCUUCGGCAAUGGACGAAAGUCUGACCGAGCAACGCCGCGUGUAUGAAGAAGGUUUUCGGAUCGUAAAAUUCUGUUGGUAGAGAAGCGGUACCUAACCAGAAAGCCACGGCUAACUACGUGCCAGCAGCCGCGGUAAUAC